GACGAACGCUGGCGGCGUGCUUAACACAUGCAAGUCGAACGGAAAGGCCCUACUUUUGUGGGGUGCUCGAGUGGCGAACGGGUGAGUAACACGUGAGUAACCUGCCCUUGACUUUGGGAUAACUUCAGGAAACUGGGGCUAAUACCGGAUAGGAGCCACUGCUGCGUGGUGGGGGUUGGAAAGUUUCGGCGGUUGGGGAUGGACUCGCGGCUUAUCAGGUUGUUGGUGGGGUAGUGGCUUACCAAGGCUUUGACGGGUAGCCGGCCUGAGAGGGUGACCGGCCACAUUGGGACUGAGAUACGGCCCAGACUCCUACGGGAGGCAGCAGUGGGGAAUAUUGCACAAUGGGCGGAAGCCUGAUGCAGCCACGCCGCGUGCGGGAUGACGGCCUUCGGGUUGUAAACCGCUUUCGCCUGUGACGAAGCGUGAGUGACGGUAAUGGGUAAAGAAGCACCGGCUAACUACGUG
rnacentral:rRNA from 1 species